AAGGGAGCUUGCUCCUGGAUUAGUGGCGAACGGGUGAGUAACACGUGAGUAACCUGCCCUUGACUCUGGGAUAAGCCUGGGAAACUGGGUCUAAUACCGGAUAUGACUGACUAUCGCAUGGUGGUUGGUGGAAAGCUUUUGUGGUUUUGGAUGGACUCGCGGCCUAUCAGCUUGUUGGUGAGGUAAUGGCUUACCAAGGCGACGACGGGUAGCCGGCCUGAGAGGGUGACCGGCCACACUGGGACUGAGACACGGCCCAGACUCCUACGGGAGGCAGCAGUGGGGAAUAUUGCACAAUGGGCGCAAGCCUGAUGCAGCGACGCCGCGUGAGGGAUGACGGCCUUCGGGUUGUAAACCUCUUUCAGUAGGGAAGAAGCCGCAAGGUGACGGUACCUGCAGAAGAAGCGCCGGCUAACUACGUGCCAGCAGCCGCGGUAAUACGUAGGGCGCAAGCGUUAUCCGGAAUUAUUGGGCGUAAAGAGCUCGUAGGCGGUUUGUCGCGUCUGCCGUGAAAGUCCGGGGCUCAACUCCGGAUCUGCGGUGGGUACGGGCAGACUAGAGUGAUGUAGGGGAGACUGGAAUUCCUGGUGUAGCGGUGAAAUGCGCAGAUAUCAGGAGGAACACCGAUGGCGAAGGCAGGUCUCUGGGCAUUAACUGACGCUGAGGAGCGAAAGCAUGGGGAGCGAACAGGAUUAGAUACCCUGGUAGUCCAUGCCGUAAACGUUGGGCACUAGGUGUGGGGGACAUUCCACGUUUUCCGCGCCGUAGCUAACGCAUUAAGUGCCCCGCCUGGGGAGUACGGCCGC
rnacentral:rRNA from 2 species